UACAGAGGGUGCGAGCGUUAAUCGGAAUUACUGGGCGUAAAGCGCGCGUAGGCGGCUUUGCAAGUCGGAUGUGAAAUCCCCGGGCUUAACCUGGGAACUGCAUUCGAGACUGCAUUGCUAGAGUAUGGGAGAGGGAAGUGGAAUUUCCGGUGUAGCGGUGAAAUGCGUAGAUAUCGGAAGGAACAUCAGUGGCGAAAGCGACUUCCUGGACCAAUACUGACGCUCAUGUGCGAAAGCGUGGGGAGCAAACAGG
rnacentral:rRNA from 1 species